rnacentral:misc_RNA from 1 species
GGACGAUUUAAUGGGGAAUGGAAAACUUGCCAUUUGAUUCUCUAAAUGUAAGAAAUUAAUAAUUUAUGCAUGAUCUAACGGUUUAUAGCUAGCUUCAUGCCACUAACUAAUCAUUGAGCAAAUAACUUCAAUGCUAACAGAAACAUAGUAAUUCAGUAUAUGCCCUCCCCACACCUCAAUUUAAGACAAAUUCUUGUUCACAUAAAUUUUCUUAAAUUCCUCGUCGUCCAACUUACCUCACUUGAAUGUGCAAAUAAUUGCUAUUUUCAGUUUCAAAGAAAUAAUUCCAUUCCUAGAAAAGGUAAAAGAAAAAGAAUGACAAUGGUAAAGCGCUUUUUACAUUGCUU